AUUGAACGCUGGCGGUAGGCCUAACACAUGCAAGUCGAACGAGUGGCGGACGGGUGAGUAAUGUCUGGGAAACUGCCUGAUGGAGGGGGAUAACUACUGGAAACGGUAGCUAAUACCGCAUACCCUCAGAUGUGCCCAGAUGGGAUUUGCUAGUUGGUGGGGUAACGGCUCACCAAGGCGACGAUCCCUAGCUGGUCUGAGAGGAUGACCAGCCACACUGUAACUGCGACACGUUCCAGACUCCUACGGGAGGCAGCAGUGGGGAAUAUCGCACAAUGGGAGCAAGCCUGAUGCAGCCAUGCCGCGUGUAUGAAGAAGGCCUUCGGGUUGUAAAGUACUUUCAGCGGGGAGGCGUUACCCGCAGAAGAAGCACCGGCGAACUCCGUGCCAGCAGCCGCGGUAAUUC
rnacentral:rRNA from 1 species